CUUGUCCUAUGUUGCCAGCGCGUCACGGCGGGGACUCAUAGGAGACUGCCGGGGUCAACUCGGAGGAAGGUGGGGAUGACGUCAAGUCAUCAUGCCCCUUACGUCCUGGGCUGCACACAUGCUACAAUGGCCGGUACAAAGGGCUGCGAUGCCGUGAGGUGGAGCGAAUCCCAAAAAGCCGGUCUCAGUUCGGAUCGGGGUCUGCAACUCGACCCCGUGAAGUCGGAGUCGCUAGUAAUCGCAGAUCAGCAAUGCUGCGGUGAAUACGUUCCCGGGCCUUGUACACACCGCCCGUCACGUCACGAAAGUCGGUAACACCCGAAGCCGGUGGCCCACCCUUUGUGUGGGGGGAGCCGUCGAAGGUGGGACCGGCGAUUGGGACGAAGUCGUAACAAGGUAGCCGUACCGGAAGGUGCGGCUGGAUCACCUCCUUUCUAAGGAGCUUUCUGGCUGGGUGCUCUCUGUAGUGGAGGGUGUCUGGUGCAGAGCGAUGACCAGCCGGAUGGUUGGUCUGGGUGCUCAUGGGUGUGGAACGCUGACUAUGUUCUGCCGGUGCUGGUCUGGUGUCUCGGGUUCCUGUGUGUUCCUGGGGUGUGGGCUGGUGUGGUGGGUCGGUACGCUGUUUGGGUUUUGAGGGAGUGUGAUGCCCUUGUGUGUGGCCCUUGCUCCCAUCACUCGUGUGGAUUGGUGGAGCUUGGUGUGCGGGCUGGUUGGGGUAGGUACCGCUGCUCUUUGUGGUGGUGGGUCUCAGGGGGCCUGGUUUCCGUUCGUAGUUUGAGAACUGCACAGUGGACGCGAGCAUCUUUAUCUUUGUGGCCAAGUUAUUAAGGGCGC
rnacentral:sRNA from 1 species